GUCGCCUACCUGGAUAAGGAGUUCAACAAAGCUCAGAAGGCACUGAGCAAGAGCAAGAAAGCUCAGGAAGUCGAGGGGCUGCUAAGUGAAAAUGAA